rnacentral:tRNA from 1 species
GGAGAGGUGGCAGAGCGGUUGAAUGCGGCGGUCUCGAAAACCGUUGUAGGCGUCAAGCGUCUACCGGGGGUUCGAAUCCCCCCCUCUCCG